CUGUUGCCCUGUGGGAGUUCCAAGGUUGCUCCUAUGGAAGGAGGGAGCUGAGGAGGAGGCCUGGCCUGAGCCAAAGGAUGAUUAUUACAACAUGGAUUGUGUACAUAAUGGCCCGGAAAAAAAUGGGAUAUUGCUUCCCACCAAAAGCCAGUUCGGACAUUGAAGUUGUGGAAAGCCAGGCAGUAUCAGUGGUACAACACUGGCUGAAAAAGACUGAAGAAGAGGCUUCCCAAGGUAUCAAACAAAAGAUGUCAAACUGUCCUCCAACUCAUGGCCAAGAAGUACAUGUGACAAGAGAUGUGAAACAUCGUGUUUCAAAAUCUGAGUUAUCAUUAAAUCGGAGCCAAGAGGUCCUUGAGGAGAGAACAAGGAUCCAGUUCAUAAGAUGGAGCCACACCCGUAUCUUCCAAGUCCCAAGCGAUGUGAGAGAUGAGGCCAUGCGGGAGAGGAUAGAGCAGGUGAGAAGAAGCGUGUCUCAAGUUAUGGUUGAAUGUGCCCCCAGUGUUCAAGACUCUUUCUCAGACUGCUAGGAUCAGCAGCCCAAAGGUCAGAAGGAUCAUGAGGCCCUGCUUUUAAGGAAAAAAACUUACUGAAAAUCAAGAUCACAGAAGCUUUUGUUCCCUGGACUAGGAGUCAGGAGACCUGGGUUCUAAUCUCAGCUCUGCUACUAACCAGGUUGGUGUCCUUUCUGGUUCACAUUUGAGGUCCUCCUGCUCCCCCUGACCUGGAUGUUUGACCAGUGUGGCAUGUCCUGGGGAAAGAAUAUCCAUCUGAUGAAUCCAUAACCUUGACAGUGGUGACAUUUGCAUCUUCCCACUAAACUACUAAAUAAAGAGACAUGCUAUUUAAGAACCAU